UUGUUUAUUUCUGCGUCAGCCCGUGCCCUUUGUCUCAGCCAAUACACCCGCGCCCUCUCUGUCUCGAGUCCCUCCUUUCUCCGGCGUCUCUCAGCUUCUCCACCGUCAUCCUCUCCGGCGCCUCCCAACUCGUCUUUCUCUCCGGCGCCGACAGCUGCUGUUCCUUCACCGGCUGAAGCUUCUGAUUCGAGUUCCAUUGAUAUCAGUGUUUCCAAAAUCUUGCAUAUCUCCAAAAUUUGGUUAAAUGGCAUC